ensembl:snRNA U6 U6 spliceosomal RNA
GUGCUCACUUUGGCAUCACAUAUACUAAAAUUGGAAGGACACAGAGAAGAUUAGCAUGGCCCCUGUGCAAUGAUGACAUGCAAAUUCAUGAAGCGCUUCAUAUUUUU